GACGCUGCCGACGCGGGUCAAAGUGCAGUGUCUGUUCUUACCAGCAUAAUACCUGAUACGGGUUCUAUUUGUAACCAAGGUAUUCUCCUUAUUUUUGCAAGGUGGCGUAGGGCUUGAAGCCUGCUUCACCUCCGCCGUGAAUCGGCCCGGUAUUGCAUUAUCUCCGGGAUCGGCCUACAUCAU